rnacentral:rRNA from 1 species
AUACAUGCAAGUCGAACGAGAUCUUCGGAUCUAGUGGCGCACGGGUGCGUAACGCGUGGGAAUCUGCCCUUGGGUUCGGAAUAACUUCUGGAAACGGAAGCUAAUACCGGAUGAUGACGUAAGUCCAAAGAUUUAUCGCCCAAGGAUGAGCCCGCGUAGGAUUAGCUAGUUGGUGGGGUAAAGGCUCACCAAGGCGACGAUCCUUAGCUGGUCUGAGAGGAUGAUCAGCCACACUGGGACUGAGACACGGCCCAGACUCCUACGGGAGGCAGCAGUAGGGAAUAUUGGACAAUGGGCGAAAGCCUGAUCCAGCAAUGCCGCGUGAGUGAUGAAGGCCUUAGGGUUGUAAAGCUCUUUUACCCGGGAUGAUAAUGACAGUACCGGGAGAAUAAGCUCCGGCUAACUCCGUGCCAGCAGCCGCGGUAAUACGGAGGGAGCUAGCGUUGUUCGGAAUUACUGGGCGUAAAGCGCACGUAGGCGGCUAUUCAAGUCAGAGGUGAAAGCCCGGGGCUCAACCCCGGAACUGCCUUUGAAACUAGAUAGCUUGAAUCCAGGAGAGGUGAGUGGAAUUCCGAGUGUAGAGGUGAAAUUCGUAGAUAUUCGGAAGAACACCAGUGGCGAAGGCGGCUCACUGGACUGG